UUUCCCUACGGGAGGCAGCAGUGAGGAAUAUUGGUCAAUGGCCGGAAGGCUGAACCAGCCAAGCCGCGUGAAGGACGAAGGUGCCAAGCAUUGUAAACUUCUUUUGUCAAGGGACAAAAUCAGGCUCGAGAGCCUGACCGAGGGUACUUGAAGAAAAAGCAUCGGCUAACUCCGUGCCAGCAGCCGCGGUAAUACGUAGGGGGCAAGCGUUAUCCGGAUUUACUGGGUGUAAAGGGAGCGUAGACGGCAGAGCAAGUCUGAAGUGAAAGCCCGCGGCCCAACUGCGGGACUGCUUUGGAAACUGC
rnacentral:rRNA from 1 species